rnacentral:lncRNA from 1 species
UUUGAAUGAACCACUCGUUUCAUCAUAUAGCAUGAGCUCUGCUGUCUUGUUGACCUCCGGAGCGACAGGCUGGUAUGGUGGUAUGGUCGGCCGAACGGCCGCCUGGGAGAAUGCCUGGAACGGAGGGUUUCCUUGACUGGCCGAUUGAUUCAGACCGGCCGUGGUUGAAGGUGCCCCCCAGGGUGACGGGCUGACUGGAGGGAAUGGUGCAGAAGACAACUGGAUGGAGCCAUAUCCCAAAGGAGUUGAUGAUGCAGA